rnacentral:rRNA from 1 species
GACGAACGCUGGCGGCAGGCUUAACACAUGCAAGUCGAACGCAUCCUUCGGGAUGAGUGGCAGACGGGUGAGUAACGCGUGGGAACGUGCCCAGAGGUACGGACUAACAACGGGAAACUGUUGCUAAUGCCGUAUACGCCCUUAGGGGGAAGAUUUAUCGCCUUUGGAUCGGCCCGCGUUGGAUUAGCUAGUUGGUGGGGUAACGGCCUACCAAGUCUACGAUCGAUAGCUGGUCUGAGAGGAUGAUCAGCCACACUGGGACUGAGACACGGCCCAGACUCCUACGGGAGGCAGCAGUGGGGAAUUUUCCGCAAUGGG